AGAAUCAACGCUGGCGGCGUGCCUAACACAUGCAAGUCGAACGAGAAAGUGGAGCAAUCCAUGAGUAAAGUGGCGACCGGGUGAGUAACACGUGACUAACCUACCUUCGAGUGGGGGAUAACCUCGGGAAACCGGGGCUAAUACCGCAUAACAUCUUUGAAGUGGAAAUUUCGGAGAUCAAAGGAGCAAUUCGCUUGAAGAGGGGGUCGCGGCUGAUUAGCUAGUUGGCGGGUAACGCCCACAAGGCUUAGAUCGGUAGCCGGCCUGAGAGGGCGCACGGCCACACUGGAACUGAAACACGGUCCAGACUCCUACGGGAGGCAGCAGUGGGGAAUUUUGCGCAAUGGGGGAAACCCUGACGCAGCAACGCCGCGUGGAGGAUGAAGUCCCUUGGGACGUAAACUCCUUUCGACCCGGACGAUAAUGACGGUACGGGUGGAAGAAGCCCCGGCUAACUUCGUGCCAGCAGCCGC
rnacentral:rRNA from 1 species